rnacentral:rRNA from 1 species
UACGUAGGGACCGAGCGUUGUCCGGAAUCAUUGGGCGUAAAGAGCGUGUAGGCGGCCACUUAAGUCCUGCGUGAAAUCUUGCGGCUCAACCGCAAGCGGUCGUGGGAAACUGGGUGGCUAGAGUGCGGGAGAGGAGAGUGGAAUUCCUGGUGUAGCGGUGGAAUGCGCAGAUAUCAGGAGGAACACCAACGGCGAAGGCAGCUCGCUGGGACGGUACUGACGCUGAGGCGCGAAAGCGUGGGGAGCGAACAGG